GGAGACGUCGCUGCCGUGAUCG
rnacentral:sRNA from 1 species